rnacentral:rRNA from 1 species
UGGGGAAUAUUGCACAAUGGGCGAAAGCCUGAUGCAGCAACGCCGCGUGAGUGAUGAAGGCCUUCGGGUUGUAAAGCUCUGUCUUCUGGGACGAUAAUGACGGUACCAGAGGAGGAAGCCACGGCUAACUACGUGCCAGCAGCCGCGGUAAUACGUAGGGGGCAAGCGUUGUCCGGAUUUACUGGGUGUAAAGGGUGCUCAGGCGGAUUUGUAAGUCAGAGGUGAAAUCUUACAGCUUAACUGUGAAACUGCCUUUGAUACUGCAAGCCUAGAGUAUGGAAGAGAGUGAUGGAAUAUCUGGUGUAGCAGUGAAAUGCGUAGAUAUCAGGUAGAACACCAAUGGCGAAGGCAGUCACUUGGUCCAUUACUGACGCUAAAGCACGAAAGCGUGGGUAGCAAACA